rnacentral:rRNA from 1 species
GUGUCAGCAGCCGCGGUAAUACGAAGGGUGCAAGCGUUGUUCGGAAUUAUUGGGCGUAAAGCGCGCGCAGGCGGAUCAGCAAGUCAGAUGUGAAAUCUCGGGGCUUAACCCCGAAACUGCGUCUGAAACUACUAAUCUAGAAUAUCGGAGAGGAAGAUGGAAUUUCGCAUGUAGGGGUAAAAUCCGUAGAGAUGCGAAGGAACACCAGAGGCGAAAGCGAUUUUCUGGACGAUUAUUGACGCUGAGGCGCGAAAGCGUGGGGAGCAAACAGGAUUAGAAACCCCCGUAGUCC